rnacentral:misc_RNA from 1 species
AACGCACAUUGCGCCCCCUGGUAUUCCGGGGGGCAUGCCUGUUCGAGCGUCAUUUCACCACUCAAGCCUCGCUUGGUAUUGGGCGUCGCGAGUCUCUCGCGCGCCUCAAAGUCUCCGGCUGUACGACCCGUCUCCCAGCGUUGUGGCAACUAUUUCGCAGUGGAGUUCGGUUCGGCAUGGCCGUUAAAUCUUUCAAAGGUUGACCUCGGAUCAGGUAGGGAUACCCGCUGAACUUAA